CUAAAAAGUUAUACAUAAAAAUGGACCUGUCCGAUCCCAUCUGAUCUCGGAAGCUAAGCAGGGUCGGGCCUGGUUAGUACUUGGAUGGGAGACCACCUAGGAAGAUCAGGUGCUGUAGG
rnacentral:rRNA from 1 species